ACGUUAGCGGCUGACGGGUGAGUAACACGUGGGUAACCUACCUAUAAGACUGGGAUAACUUCGGGAAACCGGAGCUAAUACCGGAUAAUAUUUCGAACCGCAUGGUUCGAUAGUGAAAGGUGGUUUUGCUAUCACUUAUAGAUGGACCCGCGCCGUAUUAGCUAGUUGGUAAGGUAACGGCUUACCAAGGCGACGAUACGUAGCCGACCUGAGAGGGUGAUCGGCCACACUGGAACUGAGACACGGUCCAGACUCCUACGGGAGGCAGCAGCC
rnacentral:rRNA from 1 species